UACAGAGGCCUCGAGCGUUAGGCGGAAUCACUGGGCUUAAAGCGUGUGUAGGCGGACUUCUAAGUGCCUUGUGAAAUCCCACGGCUCACCCGUGGAACUGCUGGGCAUACUGGGAGUCUUGAGCCACCUAGGGGCGAGCGGAACAAAUGGUGGAGCGGUGAAAUGCGUAGAGAUCCGGAGGAACACCGACGGCGAAGGCAGCGCCCUGGCCGUUUCCUGACGCUGAGGCACGAAGGCUAGGGGAGCAAACAGG
rnacentral:rRNA from 1 species